rnacentral:tRNA from 1 species
GGCGGGAUACCGAAGCGGUCAAACGGGGUGCGCUGUAAACGCAUUGGCUCAGCCUUCGCAGGUUCGAAUCCUGCUCCCGCCA